CAGUGAUCAUUUGCUUGCACUUUUAACAUGGAGGGUUACAUAUCUAAAAUAAAACAGUUUUCUAAACUGGACUUUCAAUCAAAGCAGGAGGUAAUACUUAAAAAAAGAUCUCCAUCGAGACAGAGAGACUUUUAAAACUGAAGAAAGAUAAGGAAGACUUCUUUAAACAAGUUAUCGAUGCUUUUGAUCAGAAGCAGCUGUGCAUGGACUCAUAAGUAAAGCUCGGCUGGCACCUCCGCUGGAAGCGCGCCAGGACACGCCCCUGCUCGCUCUGGCCGUAAUUGCGGCCGUGCGCCGACAAAGCUGCGGGCAAUCAGUAAUCAGCGCACCUGGGACUAAUGAGGGCAGGCAGCAUAAAGACCAGCGGACCCGAGGAUCAAGUGCCGGAACGUAGUUCACUCUUUGUAUGCCUCCCCUGUUUCCUGUGCUCGAGCUGUGUGCCUCGACUUCCCUCCGGAUUCUGGACUCCUUCCCUCGAUCCUCGACCCCUGUUUGGACACGGACCUCGUUGCUUCUCUCCAGCCACCGACCGCUUGCCUGCCCGCGGACUGCCUUCUCGCCUUACCCCUUUGGUCUGACGAAGGAUUCAUCCAACACGCACAUACAACAACCUCUGGUAACAUUUACGUGGUUAAAGGCCUACUGAAAUGUGAUUUUCUUAUUUAAACGGGGAUAGCAGGUGCAUUCUAUGUGUCAUACUUGAUCAUUUCGCGAUAUUGCCAUAUAGAUUUCGUAGAGAACAUCGACGAUAAAGUUUGCAACUUUUGGUCGCUGAUAAAAAAAGCCUUGCCUGUACCGGAAGUAGCAGACGAGUAGCGUGACGUCACAGGUUGUGGAGCUCCUCACAUCCGCACAUUGUUUACAAUCAUGGCCACCAGCAGCGAGAGCGAUUUGGACCGAGAAAGCGACGAUUUCCCCAUUAAUUUGAGCGAGGAUGAAAGAUUCAUGGAUGAGGAAAGUGAGA